rnacentral:rRNA from 1 species
GGCACGGGGGGCCUACGGGAGGCAGCAGUGGGGAAUAUUGGACAAUGGGCGCAAGCCUGAUCCAGCCAUGCCGCGUGAGUGAUGAAGGCCCUAGGGUUGUAAAGCUCUUUUGUGCGGGAAGAUAAUGACGGUACCGCAAGAAUAAGCCCCGGCUAACUUCGUGCCAGCAGCCGCGGUAAU